CUUAUGCUUACCAAGAGACAUGUUAAUGCAGCCUGCUAAUGUCUUAUAUUGACUACCCAUGUGUUCUUAAUUCCUAACCAAGAUGGUUCAGUGUAGGGUACACAUCUCAAACAUAUUGAAUAAUGAAGAGGAACAGCAACUUUGACCAAGAGGAGACACUUAUUUGUAAUGAUAUGUCACCCUACAAGUCUUCCAUUCAAGUCUGGAGGCACAAAAGAGAAGACUCUCCAUUGUUUCAGAGAGUAAUUGUCUCGAGGUCCGGGUCAACAGAUCUUGACAGCCCUUCCAGAUGCCCACUGGUAACACAACAUGAUGGCAGUUUCUAUAAUCUUACUUCAGCACAGCACUUCUUCCAACAAUGACAGGCUGGCGCCAGCUGAGGCUCAUCUCUCCUUUAUUUUGUCCUUCACAUCCUCUCUGUAUGAUGGCUUUAGGUGUCUACCGGAAGAAAUUACUGCAGCUUUUGCCUUGUGGGGUUCCCCUUCAUUUGCCUACAUUCACAAAUUAUUCUUAAAAAGUAAACUUAUUACAGUAAAAUAUUAACAGUUCUGGCUUCUCCACUGUUAUGAUCCAAACAAAGUUUAUUGGCAGGAGUUGGGCAGAGGAUCAAUGCAAAGUUAUGAAAGAAAAAUGCACAAUGCCUGGUAACACAUCAAAUUAUUUCAACCAGACCAGUCAUUUCAAUACAAUUUGUGAGAUUAGAAACAUCAGAAAGCUUC
rnacentral:lncRNA from 1 species